rnacentral:rRNA from 1 species
CCUACGGGAGGCAGCAGUGGGGAAUAUUGGGCAAUGGAGGCAACUCUGACCCAGCAACGCCGCGUGAAUGAUGAAGGUCUUCGGAUUGUAAAGUUCUGUGAUGGGGGAUGAACACAAUGACGGUACCCCAAUAGCAAGCCACGGCUAACUACGUGCCAGCAGCCGCGGUAAUACGGAGGUGGCAAGCGUUAUCCGGAAUUACUGGGCGUAAAGCGCUCGUAGGCGGUAUGUCAAGUCAAGGGUGAAAUCCCCGCGCUCAACGUGAGAACUGCUUUUGAAACUGGAAAACUGGAGUGUGUGAGAGGAUAGUGGAAUUCGAGGUGUAGGAGUGAAAUCCGUAGAUAUCUGGAGGAACAUCAGUGGCGAAGGCGACUAUCUGGCACAUAACUGACGCUGAGGAGCGAAAGCGUGGGUAGCAAACAGGAUUAGAUACCCGAGUAGUC